rnacentral:lncRNA from 1 species
UCCUCUGUCAGCUUGUCGUUUCUUGACAGUAGUUGACCGUUCAUGUCCUGUCCCUAUCACCUGGGGCUUCCAUUCGUCGUGUGCUGGUCCGGGAGAGGGAUGGAUUGGUUGUGUCUGAGUCCGGGAUCAUCUAUUAGGUCCGGAUCAUCUCCGGGGUCCGGGAUCAUCUCCGGGGUCUGGGAUCAUCUCCUGGGUCCGGAUCAUCUCCGGGAUCCGGGAUCAUCUCCUGGUCAUGCAGUGCUUGGAUCCGGGUUAUAUCCUAUCAUUUGCCCCCCACUCCCUUAUACAGAUUUUCUGUGUGAGGGAGUAGAGUUUUGUGUCCGGUCUGGGCUGAUUGCGGAGAGGGUGAAGUUUUUUU